GACGGAGGGUGCUAGCGUUGUUCGGAAUCACUGGGCGUAAAGGGCGCGUAGGCGGCGCCGCAAGUCGGCUCGUGAAAGCCCGGGGCUCAACCCCGGAGGUGCGGCCGGGACUGCGGUGCUGGAGGCCGGAAGAGGAGGGUGGAAUACCCAGUGUAGAGGUGAAAUUCGUAGAUAUUGGGUGGAACACCGGUGGCGAAAGCGGCUCUCUGGUCCGGACCUGACGCUGAGGCGCGAAAGCGUGGGGAGCAAACAGG
rnacentral:rRNA from 1 species